rnacentral:rRNA from 1 species
GACGUAGGGCGCGAGCGUUGUCCGGAUUUAUUGGGCGUAAAGAGCUCGUAGGCGGCUUGUCGCGUCGAAUGUGAAAUCUCAGGGCUCAACUCUGACAUUGCAUUCGAUACGGGCAGGCUCGAGUUCGGUAGGGGAGACUGGAAUUCCUGGUGUAGCGGUGAAAUGCGCAGAUAUCAGGAGGAACACCGGUGGCGAAGGCGGGUCUCUGGGCCGAUACUGACGCUGAGGAGCGAAAAGCGUGGGGGAGCGAACGG